GCUGAAACUAUCGAUAGAGCGUUUGUUUUUGAAUUCGACAUGUGUAAUUGAUUCUUCAUAUAUUUUUAAGAAAUCGCCCCUGAAAUAAGAAAUCUGUGACGAACAGGCAGCCUUGAGUAGGACCUGGCGCUACAAAACUACGUAUAAUAGGAUCCAGCAUAAAAACCCGACUCUGCAGUCCGACGCGAGUACGACUCGGUUAGCCUGCAACUCAUCAACCCGUGGCUUGAGCUCCUGAAGAACACGAGGAGAACGAGGCAGCUGGCGUUGUCCAAUCCAUCGCGCACAACGAUCAUUGACGGUUCAGUUGAACGGCAUCGAUUCAACGUAGAGUUCCAAUCCAUUUGUAGAAUACAUACGUAAAGGCUGAUAUUUUAAGCAGAACAGAACAUAGCGCAAGAAGCCAAAUGAGUGGACACGCCGUGCGGUAGUAGUGUGGCAAAGGCUGUUCUCGAGGAAAAUAAGAAAAGCACUGAUGGGAAGAAAGCCUCUGGGAACGACGACGAACGCAAUGCGGAGGAAAACAAAGUCAGAACCUCACAUACAACUGUUUUCGAUUUAAACGACGAUUGCUGGGUGCUAAUGGAGUAUCUGGACGUAGAAACGUGGACGUGUGUAUCGGAAACAUGUUCAGGAGAUAUUCAAGCCACCGGUACAAGCAUUGAAAAACACUCAACGAAGAUCUGAAAACGAGAUUUGAGCCGAGUAGAGAUGGAUGGGACGAUCUAGGCAGCCUGAUAAAGCUCAGCCUGAUAGCUUGUGUACGCAUUUUGUUUAAAAUAUCAAGAAAUUGAUCAACUGGAAUCUCUGGAUGGGUCUUCCUUUGAUGGAUUCGAUGCAAAGAGCUUGUUGGAUUGCUGCCAAACGAUGAAACAAAGAAAAAAGCAAAAAGUAAGAACUUUUUUUAAAUUCUGGCGAAGAAACUGUCAGCAGCUGGAACGUCUGGUAUUUAGAAUAGGAUACGGUGCCCUAUGAAAUGGUGUGCCACUUGCCCAAACUGCAACAUUUUCACAUGUUCAGCACAUUUGAAAUAUUUCUUCACUCAAGGAACUCUAUGUAUCGACAGCUACAGCGACAUCGUGCCUUUGGCGGACUUAUUGAAGCCAAAGAACAUUGUCUAACUCCACAUAGACAUGCCAAUUGCGAAGGACCAAAUUCUGGACCUCCUAAUUAAUAAUAAUUAUUUUUGAUUAAAAAUAAAACUCAAAGUUGAAUAAAGGAAAAAUGGUGAGCUAAGAAAAAAUUUA